GAUCAUGGCUCAGGAUGAACGCUAGCUACAGGCUUAACACAUACAAGUCGAGGGGAAACGACAUCGAAAGCUUGCUUUUGAUGGGCGUCGACCGGCGCACGGGUGAGUAACGCGUAUCCAACCUGCCCAUCACUUGGGAAUGACCUUGCGAAAGUAAGACUAAUGCCCAAUGACAUCCCACGAAGGCAUCCGAAUGGGAUUAAAGAUUUAUCGGUGAUGGAUGGGGAUGCGU
rnacentral:rRNA from 1 species